rnacentral:snRNA from 1 species
GGAUGUGAGGGCUAUCUGGCUGCGACAUCAGUCACCCCAUUGAUCGCCAGGGUUGAUUCGGCUGGUCUGGCUAGCUAGGAGGGUGUCCCCUUCCUCCCUCACCACUCCAUGUGCAUCCCUCCGCUGGGUGUGGAAGAGGACAGCCUUCCUUCCCCAAAUAGAGACGGACUGGUCUUCGGUCAGGGAUACAUGAGUAGCUGUGCUCCCCUGCUAGAACCUCCAAAUAAGCUCUCAAAUUUAGGGGUAUGUAUCUUUUCUACAGUACAGAGUUCAACUUUCUACACAAAUUCUAAAACACCCUUUUAAAAUAGUUGACUUG